rnacentral:rRNA from 1 species
CCUACGGGUGGCAGCAGUGAGGAAUAUUGGUCAAUGGCCGGAAGGCUGAACCAGCCAUGCCGCGUGAAGGUCAGUGCCCUAUGGGCGUUAAACUUCUUUUGUGCGGGAGCAAUAAUGGUCACGUGUGGCCAGACGAGAGUACCGUACGAAUAAGCAUCGGCUAACUCCGUGCCAGCGGCCGCGGGCAUACGGGGGAUGCAAGCGUUAUCCGGGUUUAUUGGGUUUAAAGGGGGCGUAGGCUGUGAGUUAAGUCAGCGGUGAAAUGCCCCCGCUCAACGGGGUGAAGUGCCAUUGAUACUGCCGUGCUGGAAUGCGGAUGCCGUGGGAGGAAUGUGUGGUGUAGCGGUGAAAUGCAUAGAUAUCACACAGAACACCGAUUGCGAAGGCAGCUCACUAAUCCGCGAUUGACGCUGAUGCACGAAAGCGUGGGUAUCAAACAGGAUUAGAUACCCCAGUAGUC